rnacentral:tRNA from 1 species
GGUUGUAGCUUAGUGGUAGAGCACUUGCCUAGCAUAUAUGAGGCACUGGGUUUGAUCCUCAGCACCA